AAAAAAGUAAAUAAUCAAUAAAAAAUCUAUGCAAUUUAAAUUGAGUUCUUUCGAGUAAUAAAAUAAAGUAUGAAACAACUGAAAAGUGGAGCCACAUAUUAAAGAGUAUCGGACGGAAGCGACUGAAUUCAGAGAAAAAAUGAAGGUCAAGUUAGUUCUAAAUUUGAUAUUGGGAUAACAGUUUUAAUAAAAUGCUGGUUUACAAUUAAAAAUAACUGGCCGCAGAAAACGCUGUGAUCGAAAAAAAUGGUGCAAAACUGGUGUUACUGUCCAUAGUAAAGUGCAGCGUGGUGUUUAAUUGAUAAGUAGGACACGCCACAGAUGGGUAGUACAGAUUUAUCCAUGUGCUGGCAGAGACGUGGCAUAUCCUGUGUGUUCAGCGCUCUUUUCAUUACCUUGAGACCACAUCACGUAGGACCAUGAAAUAUUUCAUUUACAUUUAUGGCAUUUACCAGACGCUCUUAUCCAGAGCGACAUACAAUCAGUAGUUACAGGGACAACCCCCCUCAGGGUUAAGUGUCUUGCUCAGGGACACAACGGUAGUAAAUGGGGUUUGAACCUGGUGUAUAGCUGGCGCUAUAAUGGACCAUAGAAGGAAGUCAGUAAGCUAUGAGAUUUCCUUUGUUAAUUUGGAUUAAUUAUUGCACAAUAAUUUAAGGCAAUGAGUAACAUGUCAUCGUAAUUAAAAGUGUUUGUUUGUAAAAUCACCUGCGCUUUAGAUAAAGUUAUACCUGUACGAGUUACGUGAUAGCGCGACCCGGAAGUGUAUGUGGGAGUAGCGGGAGGGAAAAGUUACGAGAGAAGUCAGAGAAAUACGAACAACAACAAAGAACAACAAUAAAGAAACGAACGUUCAGUUGCACUAUCAUUCUACUACUGGUCAAUCAGGCGCACAGGGUGCUAAUUCGCUUCUUCCAACAUGUGUUCCAUCUGAACCUGCUCAUGUCUCUCCUGCAGCAGAUGUUAAUACAGUUUUGUGAACAGAAGGCGAAGUUUGCCCUGUUUGUGAUUUUCUUUAGUUUGUUUCUUCAUUUGGUAAAUAAAAUAUAUGUAGUUUUUUUUUUUUUUUUUGCUUAAAUGGAUGUCCUAAUAUCUGAAGAAGUUUUAAAGAAGCCCCAGCAACCCAACUCCGCCUCCCUACAGGUUGCAAGAAGUCGAGACCUGCCCAUGGCCAACCUCACCCUUUCAUUUUUGAUUGGUCAGAAAGUACCCUGUCUCAGAUACUGAUU
ensembl:lncRNA